UACGGAGGGUGCAAGCGUUGUCCGGAAUCACUGGGCGUAAAGGGCGCGUAGGCGGCUCAUGAAGGCUGUGGUGAAAGCCCGAGGCUCAACUUCGGGUCGGCCAUGGAUACUCCUGGGCUUGAGCACUGUAGAGGCAGGUGGAAUUCCGGGUGUAGCGGUGGAAUGCGUAGAGAUCCGGAAGAACACCGGUGGCGAAGGCGGGUCUCUGGGCAGUAACUGACGCUGAGGAGCGAAAGCGUGGGGAGCGAACAGG
rnacentral:rRNA from 1 species